CUUGUACUCCCUGCGUCCGAAAAUACUUGUCAUUGAAAUGGAUGUAUCUAAAUGUAUUUUAGUUCUAGACACAUCCAUUUUGAUGACAAGUAAUUGCGGACGGAGGGAGUACUUG
rfam:Triticum aestivum genome assembly, contig: Triticum_aestivum_CS42_TGACv1_scaffold_116294_2AS